UGGGGAAUAUUGGACAAUGGGCGCAAGCCUGAUCCAGCCAUACCGCGUGGGUGAAGAAGGCCUUCGGGUUGUAAAGCCCUUUUGUUGGGAAAGAAAUCCUGCUGGUUAAUACCUGGUAGGGAUGACGGUACCCAAAGAAUAAGCACCGGCUAACUUCGUGCCAGCAGCCGCGGUAAUACGAAGGGUGCAAGCGUUACUCGGAAUUACUGGGCGUAAAGCGUGCGUAGGUGGUUGUUUAAGUCUGUCGUGAAAGCCCUGGGCUCAACCUGGGAAUUGCGAUGGAAACUGGGCGACUAGAGUGUGGUAGAGGACAGUGGAAUUUCCGGUGUAGCAGUGAAAUGCGUAGAGAUCGGAAGGAACAUCUGUGGCGAAGGCGACUGUCUGGGCCAACACUGACACUGAGGCACGAAAGCGUGGGGAGCAAACAGG
rnacentral:rRNA from 1 species